UAACUCCGGGAAACCGGGGCUAAUACCGAAUAUUGAAACAUAAGUGGCAUCACUGAGUUUUGAAAGAAUUUCGGUGGAGGAUGACUUCGCGGCCUAUCAGCUUGUUGGUGAGGUAAUGGCUCACCAAGGCGACGACGGGUAGCCGGCCUGAGAGGGCGACCGGCCACACUGGGACUGAGACACGGCCCAGACUCCUACGGGAGGCAGCAGUGGGGAAUAUUGGGCAAUGGACGCAAGUCUGACCCAGCGACGCCGCGUGCGGGAUGAAGGCCUUCGGGUUGUAAACCGCUUUCAGCAGGGAAGAAGCGAAAGUGACGGUACCUGCAAAAGAAGCACCGGCUAACUAUGUGCCAGCAGCCGCGGUAAUACAUAGGGUGCAAGCGUUGUCCGGAAUUAUUGGGCGUAAAGAACUCGUAGGUUGUUUGUUACGUCGGAUGUGAAAAUCUGGGGCUCAACCCCAGACCUGCAUUCGAUACGGGUGAACUAGAGUUUGGUAGGGGAGACUGGAAUUCCUGGUGUAGCGGUGGAAUGCGCAGAUAUCAGGAGGAACACCAAUGGCGAAGGCAGGUCUCUGGGCCAAUACUGACACUGAGGAGUGAAAGCGCGGGGAGCGAACAGGAUUAGAUACCCUGGUAGUCCGCGCCGUAAAC
rnacentral:rRNA from 1 species